rnacentral:rRNA from 1 species
ACGAACGCUGGCGGCGUGCUUAACACAUGCCAGUCGAACGGGAAGGCCCUGCUUUUGUGGGGUGCUCGAGUGGCGAACGGGUGAGUAACACGUGAGUAACCUGCCCUUGACUUUGGGAUAACUUCAGGAAACUGGGGCUAAUACCGGAUAGGAGCUCCUGCUGCAUGGUGGGGGUUGGAAAGUUUCGGCGGUUGGGGAUGGACUCGCGGCUUAUCAGCUUGUUGGUGGGGUAGUGGCUUACCAAGGCUUUGACGGGUAGCCGGCCUGAGAGGGUGACCGGCCACAUUGGGACUGAGAUACGGCCCAGACUCCUACGGGAGGCAGCAGUGGGGAAUAUUGCACAAUGGGCGGAAGCCUGAUGCAGCAACGCCGCGUGCGGGAUGACGGCCUUCGGGUUGUAAACCGCUUUCGCCUGUGACGAAGCGUGAGUGACGGUAAUGGGUAAAGAAGCACCGGCUAACUACGUG